AUUUUUUUUUUUAAAAAAAUGCCAAACUCCGUACUCCGUCUUCCCCAAUUUCUCUUUCAGAUUCUCAAAAUGAAAAAAGCCCCAAAUCUUCCAUUUACUUUCUCUCUCCCUAAGCUUCAAUUUAACUUCUCUUCUCCCUUUCUCUCCCCUUAAUCUCCAAUUUUAUUUCUCUCUCCCAAUCUUCAAGUUUGCUAACCCUAAUUUUACAUGUUUUGGUUGAAAUUUGAUGUAGUUCAUCUGAAAGUUAGUUGAGUUCGCUGAAAUUUGCUUGAGUUCGUCUGAGAUUUGGUUCAAUCGCACGUAUUUUCUCAUAUCUGAAGCUCCCCUGAAGUUCGCCUGGAACCCUAGCUACCAUGGACGAGGGGAAACAAUUUAUGUACAAUCAAGAACAAUUGGUAGUCCUGAGGGAAUUAGACCUACCAAUCGUAUUGGCUUGCUUUCAAGCAAUAUGGUUGAUACCAUAGAAUACUACAAUAAGAAGGUAAGUGAAAUUACUCUUAAGCUAGAAGCUGAGCAAAAAAUCACCUUAAGAGAUCGACAACUUGCUGUAGCACUCGUAUCCUUUUCGAAUAGGGUGGAUAUUGCUGCUGCUCAGAGUUUAUCUGAGAAGCAAGAAUUCAUUACAGUGAUGAAACAUCCACUCCAAGUCCAUAUUUCUCCAAGGAAAAAGUAAAUAAACAUCAUAGAAGUUUUCCUUGUUCGCAACUGUCUUUGUAUUCAAAUUUUAGCAUGUCCGUGGUAUAUAAAUAAGUCAUAUUACUUUCUAAGAGCAUAGUAUUUUUGCUGGCCUAGAUCGCUUCCCGCGCUUUGUUUUUACUGGAAACUGAUAUGCCUCUUAUUAUAUGCGGGACGAGGAGAUAACUAUUUUGCUAUUGGCCUUUUUGCUUUCAUCCUCUUGUUCAUGAAAACUUCUCCCCUGUCCUUCUAUUUUGUCUAUUUUGGUUUAUGCAUGCCUGUUUUCAGUUGGUUUAUUUUACUCCCUCCGUAUUUUUUUAAGAGAUACACUUGGCCGGGCACGGGUAUUAAGAAGAAUAAUUGAAUGGAAUAAAAUAAUAAAGCAAGUGGGGUUGGAUAGAUAUUUUAAUAAUUAAAUAUGUGGGGACCAUGUCAUUUUGGUGGGUGGAGAGUGGGGUGAGUUUAUGAAAAUAUUUGUUUAAUAGGAUAGUGGGUGAUAGGGUAUAUUAGAUGUAUUAUUUAAUUAGAUGGUGGGGUUGAUAAGUUACUAAAAAUGGCAAGUGUAUCUCUUAAAUAAAUACGGCCGGAAAAGGCAAGUGUAUCCCUUAAAAAAAUACGGAGGGAGUAUCAGUGUUGGGGCACUGAUUUGGUCAUGGUUUUAUGAGGGUUGGAUCUUGAACGGUUGUACCUUAACACCUACUAGAAGCUUCUGUUCAGGUAGAUGUGAAUCAAUAGGAACUGGUAUGCUGUUAUUAGAGUGAAUAUGACAUUGCUACGGUUCAUCGUAACUGUUGAAAUGUAGUUGCCUAAUGUUGGAAGAGGGGUGGGGGGAGAGUUGCAUGUCCAUUGCGAACUGUUUAAGGGUAAUUAAUUAAUUAUGAACAAAAAAAUGAUGAAAAAAAAAGUGUUGAAUGUGCUUUAGCUUUGUAAGAAUGUCACCUGUUUCUUUUACAAACUAUAGGUGCAUGUGCAUGUCGAACAGUAAAGAAAAUUUAUGGACAAAAAGCAGUGAUGAUGCCUUCAGCUUUUCUUAUGAGUGAUAUUGUUGCCUUUGACAAUAUAAAGGUGGUAUCUUCUUUAAGAAAGGAUAAAGGUGGAAGAAACGUCGUUAAUUUGUUAUGAAUGAUAUGCUCAUCUUGAUAGGGUUUCUUGUAAUUGACUUCUUAAGUAGUGUGUUAUGAUUAGUAUGCGUAAUCAUUGUUCAAAGACCCCCCACCGCUGCUCAUCUUUGCUGGAUUGGAAUUUCUAUGCAAAGUAAAACUCAUAAGUCUUUCUUUGACAUUCACUAGGUCGCAUCUGACAAUGGGAUCACUUCUGAUUCCACCUCAUCUAAUCAGGGUGUCCCCAAACGUCAAAGGGGAGACUGGUCAAGAGUCAGGUGCUGGGCAAGAUGUGUAUAAUCCACCUGCUAGCUAUUACAAUUAUUAUUAUCCAGGGGUUUUAUGUCAUUGAGAAUCACAAACGUUGGAUACUUUCAAAAGCUGCAAAGGGAUGGAAAGCUUUCAACACUAGAUUAGGACUUCAAUGGAUGUAUUUAGAUGAUGGAACAAUAAGUCAACAACCACCAUGGAAAUAUUCUUGGAUAGUUAAACCUGAUUGGGAUAAGUUCAUGGACUACUGCACUUAUGAAAAGUUCAAGUUUUCUCAAGAAACUUAAACAUCGAAAAAUGUUGAUGAGGUUAGAGACAUGUGGGUUGAGUAUUUGCUCAAGCAAGAAGCAGAUGAAGAAAAAAAGAUGAUGCUAUGGAAAUAACUCCAUGAGUUUCGGUUCCAAUUAUUGGUAAAUUGGUGUGAAUGAAUAGAUUUUAUAACAUUUUCUUUUACGUUUUUCGAAAUUAUGAUGUAAAGCUUUUACGUUUAUGGAAAUUACAAUUAAUGUAUCGAUUUUGCGUUUUGAGCAUUACUUAUGGAAAAUAUUUUUUUCGGUAAUAAUAUAUAUUAUUAUGGAAUUA